UACGUAGGUGGCAAGCGUUAUCCGGAAUUAUUGGGCGUAAAGAGCGCGCAGGUGGUUAAUUAAGUCUGAUGUGAAAGCCCACGGCUUAACCGUGGAGGGUCAUUGGAAACUGGUUGACUUGAGUGCAGAAGAGGGAAGUGGAAUUCCAUGUGUAGCGGUGAAAUGCGUAGAGAUAUGGAGGAACACCAGUGGCGAAGGCGGCUUCCUGGUCUGCAACUGACACCGAGGCGCGAAAGCGUGGGGAGCAAACAGG
rnacentral:rRNA from 1 species